CACGUAGGCGGGUCGUUAAGUCAGGGUGAAAUCCCGGAGCUCAACUCCGGAACUGCCUUUGAUACUGGCGAUCUAGAGGUCGAGAGAGGUGAGUGGAAUUCCGAGUGUAGAGGUGAAAUUCGUAGAUAUUCGGAAGAACACCAGUGGCGAAGGCGGCUCACUGGCUCGAUACUGACGCUGAGGUGCGAAAGCGUGGGAGCAAACA
rnacentral:rRNA from 1 species